GCAUUGAUGGUUCAGAGGUAGAAUUCUCCCUUUCCAUGUGGGAGACCUGGGUUCAAUUCCUGGCCAGUGCA
rnacentral:tRNA from 1 species